UACGGAGGGUGCAAGCGUUAUCCGGAUUCAUUGGGUUUAAAGGGUGCGUAGGCGGUCAGGUAAGUCCGUGGUGAAAUCUCCAAGCUUAACUUGGAAACUGCCGUGGAUACUAUUUGUCUUGAAUAUAGUGGAGGUGAGCGGAAUAUGUCAUGUAGCGGUGAAAUGCUUAGAUAUGACAUAGAACACCCAUUGCGAAGGCAGCUCGCUGGGCUAUUAUUGACGCUGAGGCACGAAAGCGUGGGGAUCAAACAGG
rnacentral:rRNA from 1 species